CUUACCAUUGUUGCCUCGGCAGAACCUACCCGGUACCUACCCUGUAACGACCUACCCUGUAGCGAGUUACCCGGGAACGGCUAUCGUGUAACGUUUCGCCGAUGGACAUCUAAACUAUUGUUAUUUUACAGUAAUCUGAGCGUCUUAUUUUAAUAAGUCAAAACUUUCAACAACGGAUCUCUUGGUUCUGGCAUCGAUGAAGAACGCAGCGAAAUGCGAUACGUAAUGUGAAUUGCAGAAUUCAGUGAAUCAUCGAAUCUUUGAACGCACAUUGCGCCCAUUAGUAUUCUAGUGGGCAUGCCUGUUCGAGCGUCAUUUCAACCCUUAAGCCUAGCUUAGUGUUGGCUAUCUACUGUAUUGUAGUGGCCUAAAUACAACGGCGGAUCUGUGGUAUCCUCUGAGCGUAGUAAUUUUUUUCUCGCUUUUGUUAGGUGCUGCAGCCCUCGGCCGCUAAACCCCCCAAUUUUUAAUGGUUGACCUCGGAUCAGGUAGGGAUACCCGCUGAACUUAAGCAUAUCAAUAAGCGGAGGAAAAGAAACCAACAGGGAUUGCCCUAGUAACGGCGAGUGAAGCGGCAACAGCUCAAAUUUGAAAUCUGGCCCUUGGGUCCGAAUUGUAAUUUGUAGAGGAUGUUUUUGGUGCGGUAUCUUCCGAGUUCCUUGGAACAGGACGCCUUAGAGGGUGAGAGCCCCGUACGGUUGAAUGCCUAGCCUUUGUAAAACUCCUUCGACGAGUCGAGUAGUUUGGGAAUGCUGCUCUAAAUGGGAGGUAAAUUUCUUCUAAAGCUAAAUACUGGCCA
rnacentral:rRNA from 1 species